rnacentral:hammerhead_ribozyme from 1 species
UUACUGAUGAAGAGUCGCAAACUACGACGAAACAGCUGUCCAGUAC